rnacentral:rRNA from 1 species
UGGGGAAUAUUGCACAAUGGGCGAAAGCCUGAUGCAGCAACGCCGCGUGGAGGAUGAAGGCCUUCGGGUUGUAAACUCUUGUCUUCUGGGACGAUAAUGACGGUACCAGAGGAGGAAGCCACGGCUAACUACGUGCCAGCAGCCGCGGUAAUACGUAGGUGGCAAGCGUUGUCCGGAUUUACUGGGCGUAAAGGAUGCGUAGGCGGAUAUUUAAGUGGGAUGUGAAAUACCCGGGCUCAACCUGGGUGCUGCAUUCCAAACUGGAUAUCUGGAGUGUGGGAGAGNAAAGUGGAAUUCCUAGUGUAGCGGUGAAAUGCGUAGAGAUUAGGAAGAACACCAGUGGCGAAGGCGACUUUCUGGACCGUAACUGACGCUGAGGCAUGAAAGCGUGGGGAG